UCGUUUUAAGCCUGAAAAGCUGCUGGAGGAAACGGCUGGCUGCUUCUGAUCGAACCUCUGACUUCAUUUGCGUCAUGGUUCUACGAGCGCACAGUGAAACUAAUGCCAACAUGGAGGACGCGGCGCUGCUGCUGGUUCUGAAGGACGAAGUGAAAGUCGGCUGAUGUCCCUGCAGGAAGUGGUUCCUGUAACUUCCUGCUUUUGGGACUCAGAUCCUGGUUCUGCUUUGCUCGGUUAAAACAUGAAGCUGAAUACAGAAAAGGUUGUAAAUGAAAAUGUUUUUAUUGCUCAGAAAAGGUGAAAUGUUUUUGUUUUCUUCUGAAAACUCAAACUGGAGCCUUUUUAUACGUUUUCACUUUUUUCACAAGUAAAUUGUGUCAAAACGAUUUGAAGUUUUUAAUUUAUGAUCCCACAAAAACAAAAUCAGAUGUUUUAAAUUAAAAUAGUUCAUGGUUUGUUUGUUGUUGAAGAAGCAGUAUUUUUGUUGAAUUUAGUUUUAAAAUGUUUUUUUUGGCCAGCCUGCUUCAGCUGCUCGUUUUCCUGGUGGACGUUCAGCGGAUGAUCCUGGAUCCUAACUGGUUUCACUGGUUGGAUUUCUGGCUGCCUUCCACAGGGAAACUGAUUUGGGAGCAGCUCUUUUCCUCGUUCCUUCGGCUCCAGCAGCAGCCGCCUCCGAUUUGCUGAAAUCUGCCUGGAGAUUCCUCGCUCCGCUGGGUAAACUGGGUAAACUGGGAGCUCUCUGCCACAUCCAGGCCCAUCAUUUACAUCACAAUGGGAGUUAUGAGGGCCGCCGCGUGGAGACUGUUGCCAAGGCGACACAGGGGUUGCUAGGAUACGGAUGUUGGGGAGUGGUAAUGGAGGAGCAACAGG